GUUCGCCAUGUUUUUUCCGCUUUCGUAAAUAUUGUGGUGUAAUAAAAUAGAUGACGACGCCUUACAAAAACCCUGAUUCUUGUCAAAGGACCACCGGUCAAGGCUGAAUGAAAAGGUCAAUGACAUCGCUUGAUUGAUUACGAAUGCUUUUGACGAAUAUGAGAAUAAGUCACCCAAAAGUCGGACGCCUGAGAUUUAUAAAGAGCAAGUUUGAAAAGUCGCAGGAAAAUAUCCGGAAUGAGUGCAACAGAAGGCGACGAUGGGAAUCGUUGGCGCGAUCCGACAGAAUUAAC